rnacentral:RNase_MRP_RNA from 14 species
AAGUCCCCGGACCAAAAACGGAAAGAAUGUAGUGAAUGGUUAGAUUGUUGUUGCGGCGUUUGGUGUUGUUGUUGUUGGGAUUUUGUUCAGAUUCAUA